CAGAACGCCAGCAAAGCGAGUGUGUCUGCAACCGGACUACAGGGGUACAGAGCGACGUGUGGAUGGGGACCGUGGGCUACCUCUUCCACUGAGGAACUGUGGAGGAUGGGAAACUGCGGGUGAUUUCUUGGAGGAAGCAACAACCUGGGGAGGGGGAGACAAGAACUGGGCAUGUUCUGGCCCCCAUCGCCUCGGCUCCCCCUCGUUUUAAGGUACACGGCCACUUCCCACUCUUCGAAAGGGAGGCGAAAUUAAGGUGAGGCAGAAGAAGUCAGAAGGAGAGAGAAGAACCGCCGUUGCGGGGAAGGAGAAGCAAUCCGCACUUCCCACCGGGACGCGCUCCCUCCCCACCCCCGCCCGGCCUCCACUCCCGCCCUCCUUAUCUUCGGGCAAAAGAGGGAACCAAAGUUUAGUACCUCUUGGAGAUGGCUAUUAAAAGAGAAACAGAGAGCCGGGUCUCUGAACUCCGUCAGUUCUCAGGGCAACUUCCGCUUUCUCUCUCCUCUCUCUCUUCCUUGCUUCCUUCUUUCAGUCCCGCAUCUUUGCUGUCAGACCUUUUCCUUGUCCCUUAGUUCCCGAUCAAUUUGACCGCCCCCCGUGCCUGCGUGCACCGCCAAUUUAUAACUCAGGAAAAGCUCGACGGCUUCGAUGUCUUUUUUUUCGCGGGGUUUUUUGUUUUUGUUUCUUUGUUUUUGGAUACUUACUGUGUCCCCCCCACCCCUCUUCUUUUCUCCCCAGUCCUUUCUAAUCAUCCUGUUUGUAAAACGACAGAAUAAAAGUCCGUGCCAGAC